CCGGUUGAUCCUGCCGGACCUGACUGCUAUCGGAUUGAUACUAAGCCAUGCGAGUCAUUGUAGCAAUACAAGGCAGACGGCUCAGUAACGCGUAGUCAAUCUACCCUAUGGACGGGAAUAACCUCGGGAAACUGAGAAUAAUACCCGACAGAACAUUAUACCUGGAACGGUUUAUGUUUCAAAUGAUUUAUCGCCGUAGGAUGGGACUGCGGCCUAUCAGUUUGUUGGCGAGGUAAUGGCUCACCAAGCCUAUUAUCGGUAAGGGCCGUGAGAGCGGGAGCCCUGAGAUGGGUACUGAGACAAGGACCCAGGCCUUACGAGGCGCAGCAGGCGCGAAAACUUAACCAUGCACGAAAGUGUGAUUAGGUUACCUGGAGUGCUAAAGGUAGAACUUUUAGCUGUUAUAGAGUGUAGAUAACUCUAUGAGAAAGGAGAGGGCAAGGCUGGUGCCAGCCGCCGCGGUAACACCAGCUCUUCAAGUGGUCGGGACUAUUAUCGGGCUUAAAGUGUCCGUAGCCGGUUUGGUAAGUCCCUGGUUAAAGCUGGAAGCUUAACUUUCAGUUCGCUAGGGAAACUACCUUACUAGAGGGCGGGAAAGGUGUGAGGUACUCCAGGGGUAGCGGUGAAAUGCGAUAAUCCUUGGGGGACCACCAGUGGCGAAGGCGUCAGACUGGAACGCGCCUGACGGUGAGGGACGAAAGCCAGGGGAGCGAACGGGAUUAGAUACCCCGGUAGUCCUGGCUGUAAACGAUGCGCGCUAGGUGUUGGUAGGGCUAUGAGCUAUAUCAGUGCCGUAGAGAAAUCGUUAAGCGUGCCGCCUGGGAAGUACGCUCGCAAGAGUGAAACUUAAAGGAAUUGGCGGGGGAGCACCACAAGGGGUGAAGCCUGCGGUUCAAUUGGAUUCAACGCCGGG
rnacentral:rRNA from 1 species